GAGGAGAGGAGAGAGAGAGAGGAGAGAGGAGAGGAGAGGAGAGGAGAGGAGGAGAAUCCCAGGUAGAGGGCAGGACACUGGAGGCUGAGGAGGAGAGGAGAGGAGGAGGGAGGAGAGCUCUGGGGCCAUCCCAGGUAGAGGGCAGGAUACUGGAGGCUGAGGAGGAGAUGAGAGGGGGAGAAGCGGAGAGGAGAGGAGGAGAGGAGAAGAGGAGAGGAGGAGAGCUCUGGUGCUAUCCCAGGUAGAGGGCAGGAUACUGGAGGCUGAGGAGGAGAGGAGAGGGGGAGAAGCGGAGAGGAGAGGAGGAGAGGAGAAGAGGAGAAGAUGAGAGGAGGAGAGCUCUGGUGCUAUCCCAGGUAGAGGGCAGGAUACUGGAGGCUGAGGAGGAGAGGAGAGGAGGAGAGCUCUGGGGCCAUCCCAGGUAGAGGGCAGGAUACUGGAGGCUGAGGAGGAGAUGAGAGGGAGAAGCGGAGAGGAGGAGAAGAGGAGAGGAGAAGAGGAGAGGAGGAGAGCUCUGGUGCUAUCCCAGGUAGAGGGAAGGACACUGGAGGCUGAGGAGGAGAGGAGAGGAGGGAGGAGGAGAGCUCUGCUGCUAUCCCAGGUAGAGGGCAGGAUACUGGAGGCUGAGGAGGAGAGGAGAGGAGGAGAGCUCUGCUGCUAUCCCAGGCAGAGGGCAGGAUACUGGAGGCUGAGGAGGAGAGGAGAGGAGAGGAGGAGAGCUCUGCUGCUAUCCGAGGUAGAGGGCAGGAUACUGGAGGCUGAGGAGGAGAGGAGAGGAGAGGAGGAGAGCUCUGCUGCCAUCCCAGGUAGAGGGCAGGAUACUGGAUGCUUGCAUGAAGCAGGAAUAUGGUGCAAUGCUGUGUCCCAAAACUAGCUGGACCCCUGCCUGCUUCUCUAUCUGUGGUGUCAUUUACUGUAUGAAGCUUUGGUCUGCAUGUCACGGAGACACUCAUCCUAUAAUAGAGGUCAUGGAGACACUCAUCCCAUCAUAGAGGUCAUGGAGACACUCAUCCCAUAAUAGAGGUCACGGAGACACUCAUCCCAUAAUAGAGGUCACGGAGACACUCAUCCCAUAAUAGAGGUCAUGGAGACACUCAUCCCAUCAUAGAGGUCAUGGAGACACUCAUCCCAUAAUAGAGGUCACGGAGACACUCAUCCCAUAAUAGAGGUCACGGAGACACUCAUCCCAUAAGAGGUCACGGAGACACUCAUCCCAUAAUACAGGUUGCCUUUGACAACAGUCUCUCUUGCCAUACAUUCAUUUACAGAGAACAAUAUUUCCCCUUUGUGUGAUUAUUACUAAAUGUAAUGACGUGAAAUGUCCCCCAGCCUGUCUGUCCCAGCGAGGUAUAGAGGGAGAUCUGCUGCUGUUUACACUGCCUUCACAAUCCACGGGUCAAAUCCCUCCCCAAGCGCUACUUUCCCCCCACCCUAUUGUUCCUAUAGAUAGUCCUUCAGGAGAACAGCCCGGUGGGUUGGGGGAUAUUGUUAGGUUGAAGAUACCCAGGUUAGGACAACAGGGAAAUAACAUCCCACAACUCAGACUGUUAGAGGGUUAGAGGCUAGGAGGCAACAAGUUAUACAGGAAGGAGUUGUCUUGUUUGAGGGCGGGUUAGAGGCCAGAGGAGGCUUCCAGAGGAGGCUACACAGGAAGGUGAUGUCUUGUUUAAAGCAUUGUUAAAGUCUCAGACAGGAGAUAUCUGUUAGGAAACAGUGUUUUCAACCUGAAUGGGUAACAGAGGAGAGGCAGAGAGCAGUGUGCUGAGGGUGGAGAGGGGUAGAGAGGGGUAGAGAGGGGAGGCAGGGGGUAGAGAGGGGAGGCAGGGGGUAGAGAGGGGUAGAGAGGGGAGGCAGGGGGUAGAGAAGGAGGUAGAGAGGGGAGGCAGAGGGGGUAGAGAGGGGAGGCAGGGGGUAGAGAGGGGUAGAGAAGGGGGUAGAGAGGGGAGGCAGGGGGUAGAGAGGGGAGGCAGGGGGUAGAGAGGGGUAGAGAAGGGGGUAGAGAGGGGAGGCAGGGGGUAGAGAGAGGUAGAGAAGGUGGUAGAGAGGGGAGGCAGGGAGUAGAGAGAGGUAGAGAAGGGGGUAGAGAGGGGUAGAGAAGGGGAGGCAGGGGAUAGAGAGGGGUAGAGAGGGGUAGAGAGGGGAGGCAGGGGGUAGAGAGAGGUAGAGAAGGGUAGAGAGGGGAGGCAAGGGGUAGAGAGGGGUAGAGAAGGGGGUAGAGAGGGGAGGCAGGGGGUAGAGAGGGGUAGAGAAGGGUAGAGAAGGGGAGACAGGGGAUAGAGAGGGGUAGAGAAGGGUAGAG
ensembl:lncRNA